rnacentral:lncRNA from 10 species
GGUCUUGAACUCCUGACCUCAGGUGAUUCGCCUGCCUCAGCCUCCAAAGUGCUGGGGUUACAGACGUGAGCCACCGCACCUGACUGACCCAAAGAUGUGUACUUGUGACUCAAAUGUGGAGAUGUGUCCCUUUGUGGAUUGGUGCCACAAAUGUGCCAACAGACAUAUGCCUACUUUCUCAAGUCAAAGAAUUCUUUCAACACAGCCCUUCAUAAAUGGAAAACCCGAAUGAGUGUUCAACCUCUAAGAAACUGGUGUCCCAGGAUCUCACACUGGAAAAUGCUGUCUUCAGACCCGCUGAGAUCUACUGCAUUCCAACAGUAUUAAAAGAAAGAAAGAAAUGUCUAGCCACUUCUGACUUGACCUUGGCAAUGGGAACUGGUUCCUAUUGGCUUUCUCUUUCAAAGUCAUUGUACGUCUCACAUGCAUUCACAUUUUAGUUUAUUGUACUUAACAAGGGGCAAUUUAUGCCCGUUUCAGAAUGUGAGAGCUAAAUGAUUAGACGGGGGAGAGAAAUGAUAUGGCCAAGAAUCAAGAGCGUUUCCUGCCGCUAAUGUCCACAAUGAGGAAAAAAUACGAAGGCUGUGCUUGCUUCAAUAUGGGCAGAUACUAAUUUUCCCCACUUAAAAUUCCUUAAAAGUUCAAAGGUCCAUAUUUGGCACAUCAAAGAGGAUUUUAUUGGGCACACCAGAAGGUUAGUCCUUUCCAAAGAGCCACAGAAUCACAAGAGGAAAUAAGCAUGCAAUUUAUCACUUUGUCAUGACUCAACCAGGUCCCAAUCAACACGCUAAGAUCCCUGAAGCCAACAGGAGCCAUUGACUCAAUAAUCAACAGCAAGAGUCAGGAUAGACAAUACCAAUGGAUUUGCAGAAUAUUGUCCUACUUGAAAUAGCUGUUAUCCAGUGUCAAUCAUAAAGCUGGAACUGCUUUCAUGGCGCAUGAAAACAUUUCGACGCUGUGGUCAGCAAAAGACACAUUUUAGUGUUUAUGUCAAAAGACUUUGAAAAGCAGAAUUCUAGCAUGGCUAGCAAGAUUCCCAGUCCAUACUGUACACAUACCUCUCCCAGUUACUCAGGCAUUAAUCUAGGCAUUGCUGUGAAGGGAUUCUGCAGAUGUCAUUAAGGUUCCAAAUCAGUUGACCUUAAGAUACAGAGAUGAUCUGAGCAGGCCUGACCUAAUCCCGUGAGCCUCUUAAAGCUGAGUCUGGAGAUCAGAGACAGAAAAGUCAGAGCUUCAAAGAACAAGGAUACAACAUGCUGUUGCUGGCUUGAAGAUGAAAGGUUCCAUGUAGCAAGGAAUGUGGGCAGCCUCUAGGCACUAAGGUUGGCCCCAGAUGACAGCCAGUAAGAAAGCAGGGACCUAGGUUCUACAGUUACAAGACACUGAAUCCCACCACCCACAGGAAUGAUCUGGGAAUUUUCCCUGGAGGUUCCAGACAAGAACUCGGUCCAGAUGACACCUUGAUUUCAGCCUGGUGAUACCCUAUGCAGAGAACCCAACUACAGCAUGUCCGACCUCUAACCUGCAGAACUGUGAUCUAAUAAGUUGGAGCUGUCUUUAAGCUUCUGGUCGUUUGUUACACGGCAAUAGAAAACAAGUACAAGCCUUAAGCAACAACUCAGGGAUAGUCUGGGAGCACAAGAUGAUUCUUAAGGAAGAAUCGAUGCAAUUGCAGAAUGCAAUGAUUUUUAAGACCCCCUACUGCUUUUGUACGUUCAAUAUCUCAGCUGACAAUUUCUCCUAAGUUCAUCAGCAUUGAAGUAGAAAACAGAAGUGGCAGAAAUGCAAGUUAAAAAUGCAACGAGAUCUCACCCAUUAGAAUGAGAUCUCCUAACGGAGAUCCACCCCAUCAGGAUGGAUAUAUUAAAAAAUUGCGGCCGGGCGCGGUGGCUCACGCCUGUAAUCC